rnacentral:rRNA from 1 species
CCCUUAGAUGUUCUGGGCCGCACGCGCGCUACACUGAUGCAUUCAACAAGUUCACCUUGGCCGAAAGGCUUGGGCAAUCUUUUGAACAUGCAUCGUGAUAGGGAUAGAUUAUUGCAAUUAUUAAUCUUGAACGAGGAAUUCCUAGUAAACGUAGAUCAUCAAUCUGCAUUGAUUACGUCCCUGCCCUUUGUACACACCGCCCGUCGCACCUACCGAUUGAAUGGUCCGGUGAAGCCUCGAGAUUGUGGCCAGCUCGCUUUAUUGGGAGUUGGUUGCGAGAACUUGUCUAAACCUUAUCAUUUAGAGGAAGGUGAAGUCGUAACA